AGCUACGCAUUAUGUACAAAGCGAACUAUUCUUUCGCCUUUUACUAAAGAAUACCGUGUACAUGUUGCAUUAAGUAGCAUACGCCAAUUUUUGAAGGGUUUUCUCCUAUUUUAGGAGU